UAGAAACUUGUUAUCUCAUAGAAU
rnacentral:piRNA from 1 species